rnacentral:rRNA from 1 species
UUAGAGUUUGAUCAUGGCUCAGAGUGAACGCUGGCGGUAGGCCUAACACAUGCAAGUCGAACGGCAGCACAGUAAGAGCUUGCUCUUACGGGUGGCGAGUGGCGGACGGGUGAGGAAUGCAUCGGAAUCUACUCUGUCGUGGGGGAUAACGUAGGGAAACUUACGCUAAUACCGCAUACGACCUACGGGUGAAAGCAGGGGAUCUUCGGACCUUGCGCGAUUGAAUGAGCCGAUGCCCGAUUAGCUAGUUGGCGGGGUAAGAGCCCACCAAGGCGACGAUCGGUAGCUGGUCUGAGAGGAUGAUCAGCCACACUGGAACUGAGACACGGUCCAGACUCCUACGGGAGGCAGCAGUGGGGAAUAUUGGACAAUGGGCGCAAGCCUGAUCCAGCCAUACCGCGUGGGUGAAGAAGGCCUUCGGGUUGUAAAGCCCUUUUGUUGGGAAAGAAAAGCAGUCGGUUAAUACCCGAUUGUUCUGACGGUACCCAAAGAAUAAGCACCGGCUAACUUCGUGCCAGCAGCCGCGGUAAUACGAAGGGUGCAAGCGUUACUCGGAAUUACUGGGCGUAAAGCGUGCGUAGGUGGUUGUUUAAGUCUGUCGUGAAAGCCCUGGGCUCAACCUGGGAAUUGCGAUGGAAACUGGGCGACUAGAGUGUGGCAGAGGGUAGUGGAAUUCCUGGUGUAGCAGUGAAAUGCGUAGAGAUCAGGAGGAACAUCCGUGGCGAAGGCGACUGCCUGGGCCAACACUGACACUGAGGCACGAAAGCGUGGGGAGCAAACAGGAUUAGAUACCCUGGUAGUCCACGCCCUAAACGAUGCGAACUGGAUGUUGGGUGCAAUUUGGCACGCAGUAUCGAAGCUAACGCGUUAAGUUCGCCGCCUGGGGAGUACGGUCGCAAGACUGAAACUCAAAGGAAUUGACGGGGGCCCGCACAAGCGGUGGAGUAUGUGGUUUAAUUCGAUGCAACGCGAAGAACCUUACCUGGCCUUGACAUGCACGGAACUUUCCAGAAAUGGAUUGGUGCCUUCGGGAACCGUGAAAAAGGUGCUGCAUGGCUGUCGUCAGCUCGUGUCGUGAAUGGUUGGGUAAGUCCCGCAACGAGGCGCCAACCCUUGUUCUUAGUUGCCAGCCACGUAAAUGGGUGGGGUACUCUAGGGGACGUCGGGUGACAAUCGGCAGGAGAUGGGGAGUAACGUCCAAGUCAAUCACAUGGCCUCU